rnacentral:rRNA from 1 species
GUUGUAUGGUUAAGUGACUAAGCGUACACGGUGGAUGCCUUGGCAGUCAGAGGCGAUGAAAGACGUAAUAACUUGCGAUAAGCCCAGAUUAGG